rnacentral:rRNA from 1 species
UACAGAGGUCUCAAGCGUUGUUCGGAUUCAUUGGGCGUAAAGGGUGCGUAGGUGGCGCCGUAAGUCGGGUGUGAAAUUUCGGAGCUUAACUCCGAAACUGCAUUCGAUACUGCGGUGCUUGAGGACUGGAGAGGAGACUGGAAUUCAUGGUGUAGCAGUGAAAUGCGUAGAGAUCAUGAGGAAGACCAGUGGCGAAGGCGGGUCUCUGGACAGUUCCUAACACUGAGGCACGAAGGCCAGGGGAGCAAACGGG